UAUCCCUCUUUCUCUUUCUCUCACAAUACAAAUCCCCCGCCGGGAACUGUACCCAAUCCCCCGCCGUCUACUCCGGCCACCAUGCUCGCCCUAUCCCCGCUCACUUCCCCCGCCGACGGAGCCCUCCCGUGCCCUCAAUCGCGCCGCCCCGCAAACACUAGCCGCUCCCCUGCAGGCGCCGGCGCCAGCGCGACCGCGGCUGUUCAAGACGGCGACCGGCGCAGGAGGACGGGGCUGACCGCAGUAUGGACUUCUGGUCGCAUCCCGAGCCGUCGAUUCGCCAUCCGUCGGAGCCGCUGCUCGCCCACGGGAACCACCAAGGUCGCCGCCGCCGCGCGAGCUCCGGUACCCCUGUCGCGCCGGCGUAUUGGAGGGGUCACCUGGGGCCAUGGACGCGGCCGUGUGCUCCGGAUGGAGCCCUUCCGCGACCUGCAAGACCCAAGCCCCACUUCCACGCCGCCGUCCAGGAGCCACCCAAAGGUCGAAAUCUUCGCCUCUCGUGCUAGAGUCGACACAACAAUUUUGUGUGGCUGGCAAGAAUGCAAACCAGCCUGUGCGUUUACCGCGGCAGCGUGCGAUGGCAGCGGGUGGCCUACUUCUUUGACUCCGUGGCCUUUGCGGACCUCGUGAGGAUGUCACCCAUAUUGAUUCUUCUGGUGUUCUUAGGACGCAGGCUGUGUAUAUCUUCCCCCUGAGGAGGUUGAACCAGGCCAUCUACCUGCUCCACACUUAAUAACCUACUAAUGUAUAUAUACUUUAUUUCACCUGGAGAACGAGCACCUACCCGGGCUGCUCCUGUGACGGUGGGCUCGUGGUCCUGUGAGUGCAGGAUCUGCCUGGACGAGUUCAAGAACGCUGGCAGGUCGGGCUGAGUGAACUUUCCCUGCUGACACGCUGUUGCUGUCCGCAAUGGUGUGAUGUUGAUGUCGCUGGAGAGGAACACCACAGUCUUCGCCCCCCUCCUCUCAGCGUCCAGGAUGCAUCAGCAUCAAGUAACGGGGGAUGACAAUUCAGUUGUUUAUUCAGAAAAGUGCAAGGCUUAGAGCUGUGGCACUUCUAAGCAUGAUAAUAAAUGAGGACUAGGUAGGAUCAGGAGAGGCCGGGGUAGCAGCUGGAACUUGUAGCUGUUGCCCACAGGCUGAUGCAUCGGUUGGAAGGAAGCUGGAAGACCCCGGGGACAAGCUCGAACAAACUUCCUUUCAAGCGCCUUGUUGAGCUCUGCAUACAUCUGGAGAUCUUGACCACGGCGACGACUUGCUCCACUCACAACGCUGCUAAGGACAAGGACAGCUACGAUUCGUAGAAAGAGGUUAACUAUAUGUUGCUGGAGACCUGAUGCAUCACCUUGGAAGCUGGAAGACAUGAUGCUUAUGCUACCACCUCUUUGUAGCAGCAACUUUCUAGCACCUUGAUGCUAAACACUUGGAUGUCAUGUAACCCAUGAGCAGCCCAGGUUUCGGAUCCGGAAGUAUGUCCUAAUGCAGCGAUCUUGUGUUGUAUGUAACCGUCCUAUGAUGGGAUUGCAGAAACAAGUAUGAUGUGCAUGAACUUUGUGUUGCCGGUUGUUUGUUAUCGGCGUUGAGAAAUUUCUGGUUGAGUGUAUGUUGAUAUGUCACAUUGGUUGGGACUAUUGUCUUAGUUGUAGUCA